AUUGCUUCUCCGCCUAAUGGCUAAGAUCAAGUGUAGUGUCUGUUCUUAUCAAUUUAAUAUCUGAUAUGUUUGCUAUUUGUGGACUACAUAUUAAAUGACUUUUUGCAGCUUGGAGAUGGAAUAGAAGCCUUUUCUCUCCUCUUCACGCAUUGACCUGGUAUUGCAAUAUCUCCAAGAACAAUGUACCUCCA